ACUAGAUUUACUACAUUUUCCGUUCUGGUGUGCACACACUGAAAGUGAUCUCAGCUGAUCAGCUGUUUGAAAAACAUAAAUAAAUUUUAGUUUAAAAACCGGCAUACAAUCUACACAAUUGUGAGGGAUUUAUGCAGCUUCAGUUGAAUGUAAAAGCAACCAAGACAAAUAUUUAAAAAUACGCAACAUAUGUUGUCCUGCCAGGACUUUAUACCAAAAUAUACAAAAGGACAUCGCAUGAACCUAAAGAAUUGUGUUAAAUUGCAAACUGUAUUCCAUGCACAUUUUCUUUGUACUUUACUGAAAACGCUUUAAACGUGCAAUUUACGUAUUUUAUCAGCGCCUGGCGAGCUGACUUUUAAACCGGCGACGACUUCCCGGCUGCUGCAUCUUAUCGCCGGUCAAUAAAUGUGCAUAAAUGCGCCCACAGCGCAAAUAGCGAGAGGAGAGGAGUGGUGGUGCAGCAAGGAGCAAGGUGCGAGGAGCAAGGAGCGAGGAGAGAGGAGCAAGUGGCAAGGAGCGGCAGCGGCAGCCGCAGAAACAGAAACAAUAACAAUCGUAAAGCCGCAGGACUCGACCACAACAAGCCACAAUCGGCAAUCAUCAACACUGGCGCGCCGCAGACCAAGCAUACCAAGCAGACCGAGCAGACGGAGCAGAAGGGGUCAGGCGUUAGAGGUCGGAGUUUGGAGGAGCGGGAGAAGGAGAAGGCGCUCUCUGACGGCGCCAGUUGCAUUUUGACAACGACAACGAACCAGAAACACCCGCGCACAGGCCAUGACAGCCGCAGGAGGAGGAGACUGCUACCCGGGAAUGGAAAUGGGAGUGGGCCAAAAACUAAAGCUUAGGGCUCAGCUACAGCCGCAGCCCCAGUGGAUGGCCAAGAAUCUGCACGCCCUGCUGGAUCUGCCCGCGGCGAUGGAACUGCGCCAAAUUGAGUUGAUCUAUCGGGCGGAGGGUAAUGCAAAUUUGGUGCUCGCCCUGCCGCAAUUUAAAAAAGUUUUACGUUUGCCAAAAAUGAUAUCCAGCAGACUGCGCCAGGUGGCGCACCAGCGGCAUGAGCCGGCGGAUGAGGUUGCGCGGCCGGAAGGGCAGCGUGUCGCAACUGAAAAAGCUGGCGACUUGACAAUGCCGGAUUUUAUGGCUUAUAUCGGGAUAAUGCGCCGUCUAUUAGGAAAUGAGUUUGUCUGCGGAGCGGAUAUUGUUGCCAUACCAAAGGAAGACGAUAGAUUCUGGAUAAACGAGCACAUACGCGACCAGAGACCGGUUUCGCGUCUGGAUAAGGAAUUUGUGGGGCCAUUCGGCCUGCUGCUGCCAGAUGUGACCCAAUUGCCUGCCACGUUCGAUGUUUUACUUGCCAAUUUACAGGCAAAGGGCACAACAGGAGAUGAAGCAGGAGUUGGAAGGACGAGAAACAGGAGCGCUGUCCGUCGUCUGGGCGAUACAUAUGCCAUCGAAAUAAAACCCAAACAAGGCUGGCUCCAGUUGGCAAGUGAUGUCAACGAUUUAUUUGAUUUAAUGCCAUCGGGGGCAGUGACAAAGCCAAAGGAGACGCCCCACAAUCAGGCGGAGAACGAACCUUUGGCCCGGGAAAAGUGCUGGUGUCGCUUUUGCAGCAUGCAACUGCUGAAGCUGCACAAUGAGAAAAUCAAACGUUUGAGCCACUACUGUCCGCUGGAACUAUUCUCUGGUACACCCAGUCGUAUGCUCGAUGCCUUGGAUGCACUUCUCGCCUGCCCGCAAAAUAAUUUACGUGUGUUUCAGAACAGCAAUUUAAUUUAUGGCGAUCACGCGAAUUCGAUUUCCUUCGAUGAAUUGAGCUCGCGUGUCUUUCCCGGUGAAAUUAUGGUGCUUAUAAAACAUUUGCUGGUGGCCUGCCUGCUAAGGGAAUACGAGGACCCGGAAUCCAACCGAGCAGAGAGCUCCAAUCAGAGCCAGAAGCAGAAGCAGCAACCGGAGCCGGAGCUGGAGCAGCUGAAUCAGAAUCGCGUUUCGAUUGCAGCAACGGAGACAAAGGAAGGAGCUGGUGGAAUUGGCGCCGCUAAUGUUGUCCUGCCAUUGGGGGGCAGGGCGGCCGCCUCUGUCGUCACUGCCGGUCAAUUCUCGACGAGGACAAGAGCAGCUGCUGCAACAGCCACGACCCAAAGGUACACAAAAGUGGCCAGAAUGGAAACAACAAUCACUAAACCAGCAGCCACCUCAAUGGCAGGAGCAGCAACCAGCAGCCAACUGUCCGGCAAUGUGUUGGCAAUGGCAACGGCAACGGCAGUGGCAGUGGCAGUGGCAAGUGCAGCUGGAACGGAAACAAAAACGGAACCGGAAACUCGGGCUGAGGCUGAGGCUGAGGCUGCUAGUACGACAAGUCGGAACGUGAAUCAGAAUGAGAGCCAAAAACUGAAUCGGAAUGAGCCUGCGAAUCAAACUCAAUCACAAGACAGCAAAGCGGAAAUAUUGCGCUUACCAAAAAAUUGUGUGCUGCAAAAAAUUUUGAAUUUGCAAUUGCUGGUAAAGGUAAGCCAACCAACCAAUCAAACAGCUGCCCAAACUGUGCUCCUCUGUCUUUGUCCGUUUGGCUUUGUUUAUUUUUCCUGCCCCCCGAGGAACCUUGGCAUUUGCAGAUAGUACGAGUUGGUUUCUGAUGCCCUAACAGGUGGAGCACUUCCAACUUUUUAGAAGACUGGCUUAUCAGAUUAUUAAAAAUAUAUAUAGUAUAUAGAUAGUUAAACUACUUUGUAAUCAGUGCGAUACUGUGUUGAAGCUACUUGAGCUUACUGCUGUGCAAGUUAAGGCGUAUCUGUAGAGUAUCCAAAUAUCUGGGCCAGAAGGCUGAACUUCCUUGACUUCAUUUUUUCCAAAUGCCCAGGUGGGCAGAACGUUCGCCACUUCGACUUCAUGUGGCAGUCCGGCUACUCCGACCACUCCCGGCCCACUUACAACUCGCUCCGGGGUCUCUUGGCCGCCGUCGAAGGAGCAGAAGAG